rnacentral:rRNA from 1 species
UGGGGAAUAUUGGACAAUGGGCGAAAGCCUGAUCCAGCCAUGCCGCGUGUGUGAAGAAGGUCUUCGGAUUGUAAAGCACUUUAAGUUGGGAGGAAGGGCAUUAACCUAAUACGUUAGUGUUUUGACGUUACCGACAGAAUAAGCACCGGCUAACUCUGUGCCAGCAGCGGCGGUAAUACAGAGGGUGCAAGCGUUAAUCGGAAGUACUGGGCGUAAAGCGCGCGUAGGUGGUUUGUUAAGUUGGAUGUGAAAUCCCCGGGCUCAACCUGGGAACUGCAUUCAAAACUGACUGACUAGAGUAUGGUAGAGGGUGGUGGAAUUUCCUGUGUAGCGGUGAAAUGCGUAGAUAUAGGAAGGAACACCAGUGGCGAAGGCGACCACCUGGACUAAUACUGACACUGAGGUGCGAAAGCGUGGGGAGCAAACA